rnacentral:rRNA from 1 species
GACGAACGCUGGCGGCGUGCUUAACACAUGCAAGUCGAGCGGAAAGGCCCUUCGGGGUACUCGAGCGGCGAACGGGUGAGUAACACGUGAGUAACCUGCCCCAGACUUUGGGAUAACCCUCGGAAACGGGGGCUAAUACCGGAUACGACACAGCUUCGCAUGGGGUCUGUGUGGAAAGUUUUUCGGUUUGGGAUGGGCUCGCGGCCUAUCAGCUUGUUGGUGGGGUGAUGGCCUACCAAGGCGACGACGGGUAGCCGGCCUGAAAGGGCGACCGGCCACACUGGGACUGAGACACGGCCCAGACUCCUACGGGAGGCAGCAGUGGGGAAUAUUGCACAAUGGGCGGAAGCCUGAUGCAGCGACGCCGCGUGAGGGAUGACGGCCUUCGGGUUGUAAACCUCUUUCAGCAGGGACGAAGCGUAAGUGACGGUACCUGCAGAAGAAGCGCCGGCCAACUACGUG